rnacentral:tRNA from 1 species
CGGGGCAUAGCUCAGUGGUAGAGCACAUGCCUAGCAAGCACAACGUCCUGGGUUCAAACCUCAGUACUUCCA